rnacentral:rRNA from 1 species
GACGAACGCUGGCGGCGUGCCUAAUACAUGCAAGUCGAGCGAAGUUUUUCUGGUGCUUGCACCGGAAAAACUUAGCGGCGAACGGGUGAGUAACACGUAAAGAACCUGCCUCAUAGACUGGGACAACUAUUGGAAACGAUAGCUAAUACCGGAUAAUAGCAUUAACUGCAUGGUUGAUGUUUAAAAGUUGGUUUUGCUAACACUAUGAGAUGGCUUUGCGGUGCAUUAGCUAGUUGGUGGGGUUAAGGCCUACCAAGGCGACGAUGCAUAGCCGACCUGAGAGGAUGAUCGGCCACACUGGGACUGAGACACGGCCCAGACUCCUACGGGAGGCAGCAGUAGGGAAUCUUCCGCAAUGGGCGAAAGCCUGACGGAGCAACGCCGCGUGAGUGAAGAAGGAUUUCGGUUCGUAAAGCUCUGUUGUUAGGGAAGAAUGAUUGUGUAGUAACUAUACACAGUAGAGACGGUACCUAACCAGAAAGCCACGGCUAACUACGUG